UACGGAGUAGGCCCCACGCGUUAAGUGCUGCAGGAACGGAAUGUGAACUGCGGCCGGAAAAGCUUUUGCUUGCGGUGUUGGGGCCGCAUUCGCCGCA
rfam:Lactobacillus shenzhenensis LY-73 genomic scaffold LY73.Scaffold2, whole genome shotgun sequence.